CAACAUGUAGCUUAAUUAAAGCAUCUCGCUUACACCGAGAAAAUAUCUGUUAGACUCAGAUCAUUUUGA
rnacentral:tRNA from 1 species